UUCCAGCUCCAAUAGCGUAUAUUAAAGUUGUUGCAGUUAAAAAGCUCGUAGUUGAAUUUUGGACUUGGCUGGGAGGUCUAUGCAUGGCAUAGUACUUCUCUGGCUGAGUCUUUCCUUCUGGCGAUCUAUUGUGCUAUUUACUUAGUGUAAUAGGGAACCAGGACUUUUACUUUGAAAAAAUUAGAGUGUUUAAAGCAGGCUUACGCUUGAAUACAUUAGCAUGGAAUAAUAAAAUAGGACUUUGGUUUUAUUUUGUUGGUUUUCGAAACCAAAGUAAUGAUUAAUAGGGAUAGUUGGGGGCAUUAGUAUUGAGCCGUCAGAGGUGAAAUUCUUGGAUUGGCUCAAGACUAACUUCUGCGAAAGCAUUUGCCAAGGAUGUUUUCAUCG
rnacentral:rRNA from 1 species